CCCCCCACGCUACAUGCUGUGGCCCUCAUGCAGAGGGCAAGAGGAAGUUGGUCGGCUUGACUUGAUUCAAAGUAAUAGACCUUUUUCACAAAAAGCGGAAAUGCGUAAUCCAUGUGGAAGUGGACUUCCUGUCAAGCGUCAACACAUCAGGAGAUAACGGAGUCUUCACAACUUGCUGACGUUGCAAGACUGGUGGAGGAAAACUAAAUAAAUAAAUGGUACACAUUAAUUUGUCCAUCAGUAUCAAGUUUACUUAAGUGAUCAGGCUAACUGUUAACUACUGAAAGGUCAACUAUUAAUCAUUAGCGUGUCCACGUAGACAUAAUGUAUGUAGAGUAUAGAGGAUAUAAAAUACCGUAAUAAAGCAUUAUAGUCUGCUUUUAAUUAAGCAUUGUGGUAUCACUUUGUUCUGUUUGGUCGUCCGAGUGAACGUCUUGUGUGUAGCGACAAUAAUGUUAAAGAGAAAUGCAGACGUCAAACACAGGCUCCCUUUUUAGUUUUAGCGGCAAACUUCAUCUGAGGAAAAAGUGUCUGCUGCAGGCACAAGUGCUCCCAUAGAUAUAUGAGUGCUCCCCUUUUUAAUGCCAAAGUUUGGUCCUUUAUCCCGCCGGAUCGCCUGAAAAUGAAUUUUCGUCAAACAUCAACAGGAAAGGAAUGAAACGACAGAUUUGGCUGCUUUUGGGAAUAACAAGAACCGCCCGGUACGCUACAAUGAACUUUUUCUCUUUGCUUGGGCCAUUUGUUUAACGUUGCCCUGACCGGACAGGAAGAAGAUCACCACAACGAUUGCGUAUUUCCGGUAACAAAUACGUAAGUUGUGAAAAAGGUCCAUUGUUACUCUGAAUACCCAGCUGGCAGUUAAGCAGAAAGAAAUGACAAAAGUUCUAGAUUUUUGGCUAUUUGUUAAGCAACUACAAGCAGGUUCUUUUUUUUUCUCUCACCUGCCAAAGUGCCUCUCAAUUUUGUGUGUUUUUGUCCACGGUGUGCUCCCGUGCACGGUGUGUUCCUGUGCACGUACUGCUGUGCACGGUGUGCUCCUGUGCACGGUGUACCUUUUGCUCCCACCACCCCAAACAGGUUAAGAGGUAACAGUGACAGGUCGGACGGUUGCAUUGUUUCUGUACUUUAAUUUCCUUGAGCAUUUCCAUUUAAAAUCCAUGCAUGCUUCAAAUACACUACAUUUCAGAGGGGAAUAUUACACCUUCAGUAUGAUGUAUCAUGGUCAUACAGUCAAUUACAUAACUAUGAAGUAUUUAAGUGGUUAGACUAGCGGAACCUUUACCAGCUGCAACAAUAAAUUGAUUAAGCCAAAGAAUAUAAUAAUUAUUAUCCAUUAACCUGCUGUGCAUAGUACAUUGAAAUGGGCCAUUUUUUAUAAGUAUACUUUCACAUUUGGUAAUUUAAGUACACCUGAAUGCAGGACCUUUUGUAGCAGAGUAUUUUUCACACUGUGCUCCGGUAAAUAAUGUUCACACACGAACGGUGCUGUGAAUUUGAACCACUGCUGAGAGAAUAUGCACCGAGAUCUUCAGUAUAGUACGAAACUGUACAAAAUAGACUUCCAGAGUCUGCAACAAACGGGACACGAAUGGAAGUCAGUGAAGCCGCUGAUCCCACCAGCACUGAUGUCUGUGAGGUGUGGUAAAAUAAACUAAUAUGAAAAGGCCUUGAUAAAGAAAGUCCAAUUAGAGUUUAGAGCAACAUGAGUAUGAAGAAAUGUGCUGGAAAGAGUUCAAAUGUUGCCCUGCACUGGAAAGACUCGUCAAUGUGGCCUCUGAAAGAAAAUAACACUUUUUAUUAUAUACGAGACGGCAACAAGGUCUCCUGCGCUUUUGUAAAAAAGAAAGAAAGAAAGCAACACGAUUCGCCUCGUUGGGCGGAUAUUCACAAAAACGUUGAAAGUAGAAACUCACAGUUUGAUUUCAGUAGAUCUAAGUGAAGAGAAAAGAUAGACGAUUGAUUUAAAAAGAGUGGAUAGAUAAAAGAGAUUAGGUCUUUGUAUGGGACUUUUUCGUACAUUUUGUUUCUUUGAUUUCAAUUUCUGCCUAUAAUGAUUUUUUUUCUCCCUUUCAUAUUCUUUCUCAUAGAAGAUCACGACUCAUUGGAUUAUUUAAAUCCACUUUCAAGACGUAAAACUUUUCUUUCUGUAGCAGAUAAUAAACAGAAUCCGGUCUGCGAGGGACAGCGUCUCUGUCCUGCAGGAGUGAUCCUCCUUCUCCCUCAUCACCAAUCCACAUAGUACUUCCUGCCUUUCAUAAUAACUGAUUUGCUCCAAAAUGGCAAUCCCACCUUUUGUCUGACGGAGCGACAGCGGGAAUCUAGGGAAAAUUGUCAAGGAAGUAUAGCGAAUGUCUCAAAAUUACAAGAUUGCGGCAAUUUUGUAGAUCUCGGUGUCCCUUUUUGUACAUUUUGUUUCUUUGAUUUCAAUUUCUGCCUAUAAUGAUUUCUUCUCUUGCGGAUUAUUCAUCAAAUAUCUGCAAAAAGUGACACCAAUCUUUUAAUCAGAAAGAAAGUUAAUUAGUGAAAUUUUCCUUUAACUUCUUUAAGUACGACAAUACAUGUGAUACAUUUAUUAUUAUUACUGAUCGAUUCUACGUGUAUUAUUCUUUUGUACCAACAUUUCACACCUAUUUUGUACAUCUCAUUUGAAUCGAAACCCUUCAAAGCCAAUUUCUCUGAACCUCUCCAAAAAAAAACAAUCCGCACCUGAGGGGCUCACACUGCAGCUCCCAUCAAGGUCACUGACACCCGGUGACACCCCAAUGACACCCGGUGUGGAGGUAGCACCCUGAGGGGAGUGUGCAGUGAAGCUGUUGAGUCCUGGCCAAUUUCUUGUGAAAAAGAUAUCCCAGCUGUUUUACAGCCUCCUCAAUGACUUCCACUCCAGCCGGCUAGGGGCAUUCGCUGUGUGGCCCUCAAUCCGUCUCAGCAUGACCCCCCGAGGUCAUCUGGCUUCGUGAGCAGAGAAGAAACCCAACCGGUGUGUUUGUUGAGCUCAGUUAGGCCAAAUGAGCCAGAAUGAGGUCAGAAGCAGUACCAUAAUAUUGAUU